CAGCAAGCCUCCAGCAUGCCUGGGUCUGCUGUGACCCUGUGCAUUCCUACAAUGCUUGCCAAAACAGUUUUGAAAAGGUUUGAGGACUUGCCCUGCUCCAUCCCAUGUAAGGUUAUAGAACAUUCAGAUAAUU